rnacentral:tRNA from 1 species
UCAAGGCAGUGGAUUGUGAAUCACCCAAUGCGACG